CCUCGAUGCGCCAGCGCGUGCGCGAGAUCCCCCGGCUGCCUCAUCUCGAUGCGUCUCUCCUUGUCCGACGACCUCCUCCCUCUCAACCGGCUCCGGGGGAUGAUUUCCAAUUGGGUGGGAGGCGCUGAGGUCGGGAACGAGAGCAGCUUCGGUCAGUCAACGCUCGCGCCCCACAUCACAUGGCCUACUUCUGAAGGGUUGCAGGAAGGAACAGGAAGAGAAUGCUACCCGUGCUAGCGGCACUAGCACGGCGCGGUUUGCAAGACCGUACUCGGGACUGUCGGUUCUCAAGACUCUUCAUUCAGUCACUGAUGAACAGCCACCCGGUGCUUCAGACUUCAGAUUCUUCUUCAGUCAAUGAUACAUCAUAUGCAUGCCUGUGUGAAAGUGAUCUGACUUUCUUUCGUACACGCGUUUCCUUGGGUAAUCCUGGCAAUGUAUGUAAUGGAUCGGCAGGCAGGCAGAGGCGCCUCGUACGCGUGUUUACAAGGCAAGCCUGGCAAUCAAUCACUUCAUUUUGAACAACACACGGCAUCAGGGCUAUAUAUCCAUGUAUGUGAUGUGUGUGCUUUCGAGCUUCAGCUACACUACACCUGCACACCAUGAGCCUUCUCCUAGCCUUGGAACUGCUGCUCUUCCUGCUUGCCUUGCCACGCCUUUCUUUUACCUCAAAUUCCACACAUUCGUCGCUGGAUCAGCAGGCAGAGGCGCUUCUCCAAUGGAAAUCUAACCUAAGCAGUCAUUGGUCCUAUGCUCUCCACUCAUGGACAAAGGAAACCAGCCCGUGUGACUGGAUCAGCAUUACCUGCAGCAACGCCAUGCUGCCUCGUGGCGGUGACCACGGUGAUGCUGCCCUAGUUGUGUCCAACAUUUCGCUUGUGGAGGAUGGCCUUUUUGGCAGGUUGGACAGGCUUCACUUUUCAGACUUGCCCCAUCUUGUCUUUCUGAACCUCAGUGACAACUAUUUCUCGGGCUCAAUCCCAUCAAGCAUUGGUGCUCUUGCCGAGCUCACUCACUUGGAUCUUUCCGCCAAUAACCUGGACGGAUCUAUCCCAGCAUCCCUAGACUUGCCCCAUCGUGUGUAUCUGGACCUCAGUUACAACGACCUGAACGGAUCUAUCCCAACAUCCCUAGAUAAAUACUUACCUCAUCUUGUCUAUCUGGACCUCCGUGGCAACUCUCUCUCGGGCCUAAUCCCAUCAAGCAUUGGCGCUCUUGCAAAGCUCUCUCUUUUGGGCCUAAUCCCAUCAAGCAUUGGCGCUCUUGCAAAGCUCUCUUUUGGAUCUGUCCACCAACAAUCUUGAUGGAUCCAUCCCACCUUUCGAAGACUUGUCACAUCUUAUCUAUCUGAACCUCAGCAACAACUAUCUAUGGGGUUCAAUCCCAUCAAGCAUUGUUGCUCUUGCUGAGCUCACACACCUGGAUCUAUCCAACAAUGGCCUGAAUGGAUCUAUCCCAACAUCCCUUGGUAAUUUUACCCCCUCUGGUCCUUUUUAGUUUGCAUAUA